rnacentral:rRNA from 1 species
UACGUAGGGCGCAAGCGUUGUCCGGAAUUAUUGGGCGUAAAGAGCUCGUAGGCGGUCUGUCGCGUCGGAUGUGAAAGCCCGGGGCUUAACCCCGGGUCUGCAUUCGAUACGGGCAGACUAGGAGUGUGGGUAGGGGAGGAUCGGAAUUCCUGGUGUAGCGGUGAAAUGCGCAGAUAUCAGGAGGAACACCGGUGGCGAAGGCGGAUCUCUGGGCCAUUACUGACGCUGAGGAGCGAAAGCGUGGGGAGCGAACAGG